UAUAAAACAAAUAAUGAAUGUUUUUAUUCGUGCAAUGGUAAGAAUAUUUUCAUUCGGUGAACGAUGGAAUGUUCCAUUCAACUCGGCUGUCGUCUCGCUGAAUGGAACAUUCCAUCUUUCACCUCAUGAAAACAUUCUUACCAUUGCACUCAUAAACAUUCAUUAUUUGUAUACUG